rnacentral:misc_RNA from 1 species
GUUUCCCAUCACAAUCGUCUUCUUCGUAGUUUCAUAAGAAAAAAAUAUAUAUCUUGGGAGUCCGAGGCUUAGGCUAAGGCAAAACUUCUGCAAGAACUGGCUAACUCUCAAGGAAUUCUGGAGGAAGAAGAUUCCGGUAAUCAAAGGGUGGUUCUCGCCCUAUAUGAGGCCUUAAGCUCUCGAAACGUGAACACCGUUCACCAAAUCCUCGCUCCUGAUCUCGAGUGGUGGUUCCAUGGUCCGCCGUCUCACCAAUUUCUGAUGCGCCUUCUUACUGGAGCUUCAUCCAACGGCCAAUCUUUUCAAUUCGUUCCUCAAUCAAUCACAUCCUUCGGCUCCACUGUCCUCGUCGAAGGCUGCGAUCCUAGCCGUUCAAUCUCCUGGAUCCACGCUUGGACU